AACGUUCUACUCUUCGAGCUAAAGAAUCCUAACUGAAUUAUUAUUGUUUCUUUAUUAUAUUUAAGUGGUUCUUAUUAGCUCUUUUCUGUUAAUACCAAUGACCCCAGAACCUGUCGAGUGGUUCAUCAAGCCAUCCUUUUAAAAAGUCGAGUCCAGUCUUCCUCCCUUUUGAAUAUUCCUAGUGCUCCAAUUCUAUCAGCCAUGCCCCUUAAACAUCGAUUGGUGAUUCAACCUCUAUAGUUUAAAGUUCGAAGGUAUUUUGUAAGUCUGGGUCCACUAGAUCCCAUUCCUCUUCAGCUGAGAAAUUACCCUUGACUCCUUAUCCUGAAGGACCAUAGCAAGGCGUUCCCUCGACCAUGUCUUCUUCUGGACUUUAAAUAAGGCCAAAUGAUCCGUCUGCUUCCAGCCGUGUGAACUUUCCUUUAGCGUAGGAUGCUCCCAUUCCUCCAAUUAUCUUAUCGAAGGCAAAUUUCUUUCGGUUCCUUUUUUGGCUCCAUUCAAAUAAAUAUUUCUAAUAUUGUCCCUUUCUAGGUCGAUUGUCCUGUUACUGAUGAUGAAGAAGCCUACUUCCAGUUUGUAAUGUCCUUUCCUGCUUAACCAGGGCUAGGAGAAUCAUUUGUCACACCCCCUUCGGCCCCUGUGCCCGUUAAUAAAACCUUGGUGAUAUCCACUGGGUGAUGGAGCACGAGAUUGAUGUCUUUAUAAGCUCUAAACUCUCUAACUCGUCCAUCAUGCAUUUGAAUAUGUGAUUGCCUAUGAAGGGGUGGUCCUAUGAACGAUUCUAGUAUAUUCGCUAUGAAGAAAUUAACCAGCAAAAUUCAGGACCAUUAGCUUGCUUUCAAUGCUCUAUCAGUUCUAGAGGAAGCUUUGGCCAUGAAGAAAAAGCAAAAGGAGGAGGCUUAAGCCUCUUGCCUAGGCUCAUUGAAGAGCGCAAGAAAUAAUUAAGUGAGAAAAAGAUUGCCCUAGUUGAAAUCACUAGACUUAAGUCCUAGCUACGUGGCUGCAGAGCUAAGGGACCCAUUUUAACAGAAAAAGUGGCUUCCCUAUGAAGGCAAGUGCAAGCCAGUCGCGUAACAUUCUACUCCUAUUGUCUUCCAUUUCGGCCGAUGAGAGGAGGAUGGCCAAGAAAAAGAAAGCAGCGCAUCAGACUUCUUCGAUUUCAAAUGUGUUAUGAAUUAUCUUACUGUAUGUCUAACUUAAUAAGAAUUUGCAGCCUUUAUUUAGGCCAUAUUUCUCAUGUAUCUUUAAUAUAUUUAUUUGGA
rnacentral:lncRNA from 1 species